UCAUCAGCAGUGUCUUGACUACGGUUGUGAAAUCCUCUUGGUCCAUCUUUGAAAACUACUCCACAUCACAUUGUUCAACAGAUGCUUGGGGUUGGUUCUCUGCCACAAUUGGAAGCCCUAGUUCCAGCUCCAACUGAUGAUACAUGAUUU